UCCGGUUUGUCACCGGCAGUCUCAUUAGAGUGCUCCCUUGCGGGUAGCAACUAAUGACAAGGGUUGCGCUCGUUGCGGGACUUAACCCAACAUCUCACGACACGAGCUGACGACAGCCAUGCAGCACCUGUGUUCCGAUUCCCUUUCGGGCACAGCCCCAUCUCUGGAGCCUCUCGGACAUGUCAAGGGUAGGUAAGGUUUUUCGCGUUGCAUCGAAUUAAUCCACAUAAUCCACCGCUUGUGCGGGUCCCCGUCAAUUCCUUUGAGUUUUAACCUUGCGGCCGUACUCCCCAGGCGGUCGACUUCACGCGUUAGCUUCGUUACUGAGAGUGUCAAACCCCCAACAACCAGUCGACAUCGUUUAGGGCGUGGACUAC
rnacentral:misc_RNA from 1 species